rnacentral:misc_RNA from 1 species
AACGCACGAGACCUGCGGACCUGCGGAAGGAUCAUUAACAAUUGUCCACUACAAUGGAUAAUUUUAUCCAUAUCCACCUUGUGUGAAUCACUGAACUGUCUGUUGGCAGGUUAGGCGCCCUCCAGUACCUCUGGUGGGAAGCCGUGGGUUUUAGACUUCUGGUCUGUGCUCGGCCUGCCAAUUUUACUUGUGUAAACUUGUCUAAAUUAUAGUUGACUGAAAUAUAUUAUAUUAUAUAAU